GGGGCUAUGGCUCAGUGGUAGAGCAUCUGCUUGGCAGGUAGAAGGUACAGGUUUAACCCCGGCAUCUCCA
rnacentral:tRNA from 1 species